rnacentral:rRNA from 1 species
UACGUAGGGAGCAAGCGUUGUCCGGAAUCAUUGGGCGUAAAGCGCGCGUAGGCGGCUCGCUCAGUCUGUUGUGAAAGUCAAAGGCUCAACCUUUGAAUGCCGAUGGAUACUGUCGAGCUAGAGUCCGGAAGAGGCGGGUGGAAUUCCUGGUGUAGCGGUGGAAUGCGUAGAUAUCUGGAGGAACACCGGUGGCGAAGGCGGCAUCCUGGACCGACAUUGACGCUGAGGCGCGAAAGCCAGGGGAGCAAACGGG